rnacentral:misc_RNA from 1 species
UCAAACUUGGUCAUUUAGAGGAAGUAAAAGUCGUAACAAGGUUUCCGUAGGUGAACCUGCGGAAGGAUCAUUAGUGAUUGCCCUCUGGGCUUAAAACUAUAUCCAUAUACACCUGUGAACCGUUUGAUUGACUCUUCUGAGUUGAUUUUACAAACAUUGUGUAAUGAACGUCUAGUUAUUAUAACAAAAAAUAACUUUCAACAACGGAUCUCUUGGCUCUCGCAUCGAAGAGGAAGGCAAACUUGGUCUUUUAGAGGAAGUAAAAGUCGUAACAAGGUUUCCGUAGGUGAACCUGCGGAAGGAUCAUUAGUGAUUGCCCUCUGGGCUUAAAACUAUAUCCAUAUACACCUGUGAACCGUUUGAUUGACUCUUCUGAGUUGAUUUUACAAACAUUGUGUAAUGAACGUCUAGUUAUUAUAACAAAAAAUAACUUUCAACAACGGAUCUCUUGGCUCUCGCAUCGAUGAAGAACGCAGC